AUGAAAAUAAGUGCAAAAUCCGAAACAAAUAUGAGCAAACUGAAUGCAGCAAUAUCUCCACUUAUAGCCAAUAACAUAUCUGGAAACUUGGCAUCUUUUGAAACUCGUCUUCCAUUCCAUCCUGCAAGCAACAGUGUACCUCAGAGAAAGCUGAUCCCACUCCAGCUUCAGAGCACGUGUUCCUUUCUUGCAAAGGAACAUAUGGCCUCGCUCUGGCUGAUGAGUUGUCAGGUAAAGUCUGAUGAGCCUUUUGGGAAAAUAGUCUUCCAUCCUAAUAGAGAAGCAGAAGGUGACACUCUUUUCUCCCACAUGGUAUCAGUGGAUCAUAUGCGAAGCUCAUAAGAUUAUAAGCAACCUUCUUCCUGGCUUGAGAGUGAAAUCUGAGGAUGGCAAAAGGGAAAGAUUAAAAAAAAGAGUUACAACGAUCUUGGUCCUUGUAGAUUUCUUUAAAGCACUGAAGCCUAUGUUACCUCUGGCCUUAAUAUGUGAGUUGACAAGUUUCCUUGUUUUUUUAUGGCAUUUGACUACAGAUUCCUUUACAGGCUGCCAGAAUCUUCUGGACUGGUUGAAGCCUCCUCAGUGGUCUCUUGUCUCCAGUUCUGCUGCAGCUGCUCUUCAUGUCAGCCCCUGAAGUGACUUCAAGGAUCAUUAAGUCUCCAAAUAAUAUAGCUUUAAACCAAGGAUUGAGUACAACUCUUCUUUUAGAGAUGUAGCAAGAUGGAAAAGAACUUAUUCUCUGGGUCCAGAGAACUGUGCAAAUUAUCCAACUGUAUUUUGUAGGAAUUUUAAAGACAAUAUGUUUUGUUUUACUCUGAGGAUAGGACCAAUCUCUGUAUUCUAUGACACACAAUUUUUAUUCAAGACAGACUAUGUGCCAGGAAUUGUGCAGAAACCAUUUAAUCUUCAUAACAGCCCAAUGAUGCAUUAGCCACUUUACAUAUGAGAAGAUUUAGAUUCAGAACUCAAGUGUCGUGUGCAAAUUCACAUGGCUGAUAACUUGUGGGGAUCAGAUUGAGGUCCACAUCUUUUAGAUUCCUAAGGCUCCCUGGUUAUUAAUUGAAUUAAACAAGGUCUGUCUUCUUCACUUUCACACCAAACUGAUGCGAUUUAUCAAAUGUUUGUCUUUUUUUGUGUAUUACUUUAAUGGAAAAUAUUUGAAAUGAAUUAAAAAGUUUUGAUCAAGUUCAGUAUUCUGCUGAAAUAAAUCAAUGAAGACUAAUUCA
rnacentral:lncRNA from 1 species